CGGCCGGAGUGAAUAAAGUUUACUACCAACAACCAAUGACACACAGGCUGGAUGUUCACGAGACCUGAGGUGGCAGGAUAAACUCAUGAAGACUUUGCAGGAGUUAGCCAAAUAUCAGGACAAUGCAUGAGAAUAACUGAAGGGCUAUGGCUGGAUGUUGACACUGAGCAGAAACAGACACAGGAUGGCAGGCUGUUCUGCUAUUGCCGCCAGGUAUCUGAUGUCACUAUCUUGUGACCGACCCAAGCACGAGAAACCAGGGUGAAGAGGAGUCAUCCUGUUCCUGCCAGCCAGUCGAGCACAGCCAGUCAUGUUCUGCAGUUCUGGCAUGGUGACGUUGUGCUGUACCUGUGACAUGCCUGACUGCCUGCCCUGAACAUUGGACUGUGACAGUUAAAAUAAACAAUAGUAUUUCCCACUUGACUACAACAGAUUAAUAUUUGAUUUUAGCUUUCUUUUAAAGUGUUGAAUGAUUUUUAGAUUUAUUUUGCAAUGUUGAAUAAGAGUAUGGAAUGUUUAAUUCAAUUAAAGUUUAUUUACAAA